GCCAAAGAGAUCGGGAUAACACCUGGAAACAGAUGCUAAUACCGGAUAACAACAGAUCAUGCCUAUCAACUGUUUAAAAGAUGGUUCUGCUAUCACUCUUGGAUGGACCUGCGGUGCAUUAGCUAGUUGGUAGGGUAACGGCCUACCAAGGCGAUGAUGCAUAGCCGAGUUGAGAGACUGAUCGGCCACAUUGGGACUGAGACACGGCCCAAACUCCUACGGGAGGCAGCAGCG
rnacentral:rRNA from 1 species